CCUACGGGUGGCAGCAGUGGGGAAUAUUGGGCAAUGGGCGCAAGCCUGACCCAGCAACGCCGCGUGAAGGAAGAAGGCUUUCGGGUUGUAAACUUCUUUUGACAGGGAAGAGUAGAAGACGGUACCUGUCGAAUAAGCCACGGCUAACUACGUGCCAGCAGCCGCGGUAAUACGUAGGUGGCAAGCGUUGUCCGGAUUUACUGGGUGUGAAGGGCGUGUAGACGGGUUGACAAGUCAGAUGUGAAAUCCUGCGGCGUAACAGCAGAACUGCAUAUGAAACUGUUGAAGUUGAGUACUGGAGAGGCAGACGGAAUUGCUAGUGUAGCGGUGAAAUGCGUAGAUAUUAGGGGGAAAACCAGUGGCGAAGGCGGUCUGCUGGACAGCAACUGAAGGUGCGGCGCGAAAGCGUGGGGAGGCAAAAGGAAUAGAUACCCUAGUAGGC
rnacentral:rRNA from 1 species